AAACUGAGGCUAAUACCGGAUAGGCAAUUUUUCCUGUAAUGGUUUUUUGUUUAAAUGUUUUUUCGCCUAAGGAUGGGUCUGCGGCCGAUUAGGUAGUUGGUUAGGUAAUGGCUUACCAAGCCGUUGAUCGGUACGGGUUGUGAGAGCAAGAGCCCGGAGAUGGAACCUGAGACAAGGUUCCAGGCCCUACGGGGUGCAGCAGGCGCGAAACCUCCGCAAUGUGAGAAAUCGCGACGGGGGGAUCCCAAGUGCCAUUCUUAACGGGAUGGCUUUUCAUUAGUGUAAAGAGCUUUUGGAAUAAGAGCUGGGCAAGACCGGUGCCAGCCGCCGCGGUAACACCGGCAGCUCUAGUGGUAGCAAUUUUUAUUGGGCCUAAAGCGUCCGUAGCCGGUUUAAUAAGUCUCUGGUGAAAUCCUGUAGCUUAACUGUGGGAAUUGCUGGAGAUACUAUUAGACUUGAGACCGGGAGAGGUUAGAGGUACUCCCAGGGUAGAGGUGAAAUUCUGUAAUCCUGGGAGGACCGCCUGUUGCGAAGGCGUCUAACUGGAACGGUUCUGACGGUGAGGGACGAAAGUUAGGGGCGCGAACCGGAUUAGAUACCCGGGUAGUCCUAACUGUAAACGAUGCGGACUUGGUGUUGGGGUGGCUUUGAGCUGCUCCAGUGCCGAAGGGAAGCUGUUAAGUCCGCCGCCUGGGAAGUACGGUCGCAAGACUGAAACUUAA
rnacentral:rRNA from 1 species